CCUACGGGAGGCUGCAGUGGGGAAUUUUGGGCAAUGGGCGAAAGCCUGACCCAGCAACGCCGCGUGAAGGAUGAAGUAUUUCGGUAUGUAAACUUCGAAAGAAUAGGAAGAAUUAAUGACGGUACUAUUUAUAAGGUCCGGCUAACUACGUGCCAGCAGCCGCGGUAAUACGUAGGGACCAAGCGUUGUUCGGAUUUACUGGGCGUAAAGGGCGCGUAGGCGGUGCGGUAAGUCACUUGUGAAAUCUCUGAGCUUAACUCAGAACGGCCAAGUGAUACUGCAGUACUAGAGUGCAGAAGGGGCAAUCAGAAUUCUUGGUGUAGCGGUGAAAUGCGUAGAUAUCAAGAGGAAUACCUGAGGUGAAGACGGGUUGCUAGGCUGACACUGACGCUGAGGCGCGAAAGCUAGGGGAGCAAACGGGAUUAGAUACCCGUGUAGUC
rnacentral:rRNA from 1 species